AGUGGGAUAGCUGGGUCAAAUGGUGGUUCCAAGUUUCCUGAGGGCUGUCCACACUGCUUUCCAGAGUGGUUGCACCAAUUUGCAGUCCUACCAGCAAU
rnacentral:pre_miRNA from 1 species